rnacentral:rRNA from 3 species
CGACCCCAGGUCAGGCGGGAC